CAAAGGUUAGGGAGCUCAACAGACCAAAGGGGCUAACAGCAAGAUGGAGCAGGAGAGAACCCAUUUACCUGGCAGGUGUGAGAAGAGUCAAGGUGUUUCUAAGCACACAGCUGAAAAUGGAAAACAGGUGGGUGCUCCUGAGCAGGAGUUGGGGGCCAGAAACAAAGAGGGGCACCGAUCAGCACUGUGUUCACAAGGGGGAUGAAAUUUCAGAGAGAUCAUCUGGGCCCAAACCCACAGGAGAAGAUGCUCAGAGUGGUAGUCAGCUGCUCUGCCCACAUGGGUCACCCAAGAGCACCCACAACCUGCCCUUACGCCAUGUCCAUAGAAAGGGAGUGGUUUUCGGGUUCAGAGGAGAAAGAGAUCACUUCCUUCUGGGAGCAGGCGUCGGAACUUCCUGCUCUCCAAAGGCAAAACUCACCAUGAGGGAAUCAUCCAGAAAUAAAGUUGAUUUUCAUUUCUCCCUGCAGAUGCUCCCAGGGAGUUAAAGGUGACUCUUCACUCCAGACUCUAAAUUUGACCCCCUUUCAGGCGGCCACCCCAGGUUCAUUAUCACACCAAUCAGCCAACUGUUUUGAGUAGAAAUCUCCUUUCCCACCCUGUAAGGAAUUCCAGGACACCGUCUAUGAAGAGGGAAAUCAUAACUUGGCUAUUUGUUCAGGACACCCCUACCCUCUUCCAGACCAACAGCUCAUUGAGACACCUGCCCUCAAGAUACCGCUUGACUACUGCCGCCAGUCUGUUACGGGCCUUUGUCAAACAAGUCUUCUCUCUUGGUGCACUCCAGGCCAACUUUCUGUGUUCCAGCUUGAGAGUCCUCUUUGCAGCCAUGUGAAUCCAGUGUCUUCCUCUCGUUAAUCCUCUAGGACACCUCUGCCCAGCUUUCUUCCAUCCCCCCACACCUGGCCAUUUCCCUCUGGAGCUGUUUCCUACUAGCUGGGCUCUCACCUCCCAGACACUUUUCCUUCCUUUAGACCAGCUUCAUCUCCUCUAUGUGCUGCUCAGCAUGGAAUAAAUUCUAUCUUUUUCCAAUUCCCAAUUUCUAAGGCAGGUACCAUCUCUGCUUUGACCAGACACUUGGUACAACUUCAAACAUUGUCGCCUGCGGUUUGGCUGCCUAACAAGGAGCUCUUGCAUUUAGCGCCCUUAAUAUAGACUCUGUCUACCACAGAUCAGCGUGUACUGAGAAGAUAGAUCGGAAUCAGGGAGGAGGCUAUUUCAUUGCCUGGUGGUGGAACCAAUACUCAGUCUGGUGAUAUAAACUGAAAAAUGCAAAAGUGGGGAAGGCAAGGUGAGGAGCAAAGGCAGCUUCUCAGACUUGGCUCGUGAGUUCAUAGUAAGGCAUCUCCAACAAGAGUCUUGCAGAGGCCUCCUGGAGGGUCCCUUCCGUCCACAGUGAUUGGGGCAUAGGCUAGCUCAACCAUAAAGUCAAACAGGAAACUCUGCCAGCAAACAAAAGGAAAAAGGAAGCUCUCAGAUUCCUGUUCCAAGCAGCCUUCUGGGAAGGACUUUAUCUUGGGGGAAAGUUUAACUGAAGGAAAUUUGACCUGAAGUUGCAAGUUUCCUUUGUUGAGAAAAGCAAAUAACAUGAAAGGGGAGAAAAGCAACAAGAUGAAAGAUUGGUCAUCACAGAUGCAGAUCUAAUCUCUGCCAUAAUAUAAACUGGAAGAACCUAGAACCCUGGGAGGUGAGAGUGGCAGGCCGGAGGGUGACACGAGCAGAAACAACAGACAAGACGAGGCUGACCUCCCACAGGGGCAGCGAGGGCCCUGGCUGAUGGCAACUCUUGGGAUGGUAAAAGAGGAUAGCAGAAAGAAAACUGGGUUGGAAUCCUAACUCUAUAACUGAAGAAGGGGAGCUGGGACCUUGAGGGCAUGAGGAAUGCUGAGAGUCAGCCUCUUGGGGAAGUUCUCAAAACUUCAACUCAAUUUGUGUAGUAGUUGUGCACAAUUCAGGAGGGAAAUGGCAGGCUACCUGUAUGCACUAAUGAUCCUGAGCCCAUGUUCCUCAAGAGUGCCAUCCCAGGGCUGGGCUGCAGCCGUCUAAUGUGCAUUAACAGUUGAUGCACAUGAGGCAAGCAUCCAAGAAAGGAUUCUACAUUUCCUGCCAAGCAUGGGAGAAGGUGAACCUGGAUAAUGUUUGCGCUUGGGAAGCUAAACACAAUUUCAGCUUCAAGGAAACCCCCAGAUUGCAAAAUUCUUGGACAGAAAGCAAAAUAUAUCCAAUAUUUCUGCCACCAUCUCUGUGAGUUUUCUGCCACCAUUCUCCACCAUGACCUCUGAUCUGUCUAGCAGCCUGCUGGAUUUCAC
rnacentral:lncRNA from 1 species